UACGUAGGGUCCGAGCGUUGUCCGGAAUUAUUGGGCGUAAAGGGCUCGUAGGCGGUUUGUCACGUCGGGCGUGAAAACUCAGGGCUCAACCCUGAGCGUGCGUUCGAUACGGGCAGACUAGAGGUAUGCAGGGGAGAACGGAAUUCCUGGUGUAGCGGUGGAAUGCGCAGAUAUCAGGAGGAACACCGGUGGCGAAGGCGGUUCUCUGGGCAUUACCUGACGCUGAGGAGCGGAAAGCAUGGGGAGCGAACAGG
rnacentral:rRNA from 1 species